ACAAACAAAAAAAACUAGUUAAGAGUUGGUCACAGCCGACACCAGGAAAAGGCAGUCUUCCAAUAGACAGAAAGCACCGCACCUGAAGCUGGUGAUCUGCAGCUUCCCAGUAAGACCUCAGGAGUUGGGCGAGUGGGUUCAAGCACAUUAAGAAGCAAAGUGGUGAAGUUUAACUGGUAUGUGACCUUCCGCUGGAAUGCUCAGCUGGCAAGGGAAGAGCACCUCAAGUGAGCAUGUGUACAAUUUCAGGGCACACAUUGUGCACGCAGCCCCUCCCACAUGCUGGCAGGCCACGGCGCGCGUGACAGCCCACCCCAAGGGAAGAAUCACAGGAGAAGAGACGCAGACCCCGGAACCAUGCCAAUGUAUAAAAACCCAAGUCAAAAGUCAAACUGUGCACUUGAAUCUUCCAAGUCGCCCACUUGACCCUCUUCCAAGUGUACUUUACUUCCUUUUGUUCCUACUCUAAAACUGUUUAAUCAACUUUCACUUGUGCUCUAAAACUUGCCUCAGCCCCUCACUCUGCCUUAUGCCCCUCAGACGAGUUAUUUCCUUUGAGGAGGGAGGAAUUGAGUUACUUCAGGCCCGGAUGGAUCCACCGCUGCUGACGUACUUUGGUGCUGACGUACUUUGGUGCCGUGACUCGGAUACAUUCCCUAGAGGUUGCCCUCAGAACACCCUCCCAGGUAACUGCCAUCGCUGCGGGAAGCCAGGCCACUGGAAGGCAGACUGCAUCAGUCGGACAAAUGGGAGGAAGCUCCACACAGCUGGCCCCCUCCGCCACACUCAGCCAGUGGAACAGGACUGCCCUGAGGGCUGAAGGGCCCUGGGACAGAUUCUCAACCCCUGAUGACUUUCAGCUGAAGGAACUGUCUGCACAGCUGGCCUCCAAGUCAGACAUCGUAUAAAUUAACAAAUUUCCUUGUCAAUUGUGUCUAACUGCGGCUGCCCCAAGACUUAUCAUACACAGACAAUUGUUGCUUCAUUUUAAUCCCCUUUAAAAGAUGGUUUUAUAAUCAAUAUAGGACUCUAAUAACAGGUGCUCUUAAGUCACCUGCCCCAGAGGGGAGGCUUGAGUGACACCUGGAGCUCCUGCACCAUGGGGGAGACAUGAGUGACACCUGAGCACCUGUAUCUUGUAGGAGGUCUGGGUGUGACGUGAGCCCCUGCAGCAGAGGGGAGGCUUCAGGAACACCUGGAGCACCGGCAUCUCACAGGAAGGAGGCUUGGGUGUGACCUGAGCACCUGCACCACGGGAGAGGCUUGGGUAGUGUGUGGACACCUAGACCACAGGGAGGCCUGGGAACUGCCUGAGCACCUGCACCACGGGAGAGGCUUGGGUGACACUUGGGCACCUGCACCCAACACAGGUAGCAGUGAUCACAGUGAAAACAUUUUGUUAGCAGUCGUCUGCUUCCUGUCCUGGCAUGAGCAGCAACGGGUAAAGGGCACUCUUGUCAGCUGAGGGGAUGAGUGGGGCUCUGCCCAGCUGGUUGGAGACUCCAGCAGGUUUGCAGGAGGAGACGGAAGAGCAAGGAGUGGAGGCAAAAACUGCUGCCAAGAUCCUGUGGGAAAACAGGAACCCAAAGAAGGAACUCCAAUGGGAAACUAAUUUAGACAACAAUGAUCUUAAAGUUUUUGCUCCUUCGAGACUGUUGAAAAGAACUCCCACGAGUGAACAAAAGACGCCUGGCCGAGGACACUCCAGAGUGCUGUCACGAGGGUUCCCUGCAGUUUUCAGAAACUUGGAGCAUGUGGCCACAGCGGCUUGCACGUGAUUCAUACGGCACAUCUUGUCACCAUGUAAAUGUUUAUCAGCAGAGACAAAGACCAGAAGAGCAACCUUGGAAAGAGCUAAAUAUUCCGAUGUUCCAGCAUUUUCCCCUCUGGUUUGUAUUGUGAAUUUUUAAAAUCUCGAUUGACAAGUUCUGGUGUUUUUAGUUUUGUUUCCACCCAGCAGUGCUGGUGCCCUUUGAUUGUAAACAGAGCAGAGUGCACCGGGUGGGAGUGCAUGUGGCUCCCUGCGUGUGCCUGGGUGCUGGCAGCACCUUGUCUGCCUCCUUCCUCCCUGGCGCCAGCUCCUGACGCAAUCAGAGGCCCAGUGACACCCACAGCACAGGGAGGAAGUGCGUGGAUGUCCAGGUCCCUCCACGGAGCACAGCUGUGUAGCUUCAGGUGCUCAGGGAGGAUGCCCCAUUCACUCCUCCCUCAUGGGUAAACUGAGGCACAGGGAUGGGGAACUGGCCAGUGGGACUAAACACAAGAUGUCCUGACUCCUGUGUGGGACUGUUGCCUCUUUGGGCCUUGCAUUCAUCAGGGCUCAGCAAGGAAACAGAGCCACUAGGAUGUGUGGAGAGGAGCAGAGACUUUGCACGAGGCAUUGGCUCCUGUGCGGUGUGGGCGGGCAGGCUCAGGACCCAGAAGAGCCCAUGGUGCAGGCCAAGCCCAAAGGCAGGCUGCAGGAGAAGGCCUUCUGGCCCAGGGGGGCCAGCCUUCUUACUCUAUUUUGGCCUUCAACUGAUUGGAGGAGUGUAGGGACCAGCCCCACAGGGUUGGUGGGUCUCUCCCUGUGUGCAGCGACGAGAGAGUGUAGAAAUAAAGACACAAGACAAAGAGAUAAGAGAAAAGGCAGCUGGGCCCGGGGGACCACUACCACCAAUGCACAGAGACCAGUAGUGGCCCCGAAUGCCAGGCUGCGCUGUUAUUUAUUGGAUACAAGGCAGAAGGGGCAGGGUAAAGAAUGUGAGUCACCUCCAAUGAUAGGUAAGGUCAUGUGGGUCACGUGUCCACUGGAUGGGGGGCCCUUCCCUGCCUGGCAGCCGAGGCAGAGAAGGAGAGGAGACAGAGAGAAAGACAGCUUACGCCAUUAUUUCUGCAUAUCAGGGACUAUUAGUACUUUCACUAAUUGACUACUGCUAUCUAGAAGGCAGAGCCAGGUGUACAGGAUGGAACAUGAAGGCAGACUAGGAGCAUGACCACUGAAGCACAGCAUCACAGGGAGACGGUUAGGCCUCCGGAUAACUGUGGGCGAGUCUGACUCAUGUCAGGCCCUCCACAAGAGGUGGAGGAGCAGAGUCUUCUCUAAACUCCCCCGGGGAAAGGGAGACCACCCCGCCCCCCUGCCGCUUUCCCGGUCUGCUAAGUAGCGGGUGUUGUUCCUUGACACCUUUUGCUACCGCUGGACCACGGUCCACCUGGUAACAGGCAUCUUCCCAGACGCUGGCGUCACCGCUAGACCAAGGAGCCCUCUGGUGGCCCUGUCCGGGCAUAACAGAAGGCUCACACUCCUGUCUUCCGGUCACACUUCACUGUGUCCCCUCAGCUCCUAUCUCUGUAUGGCCUGGUUUUUCCUAGGCUAUGAUUAUAGAGCGAGGAUUAUUAUAAUAUUGGAAUAAAAAGUAAUUGCUACAAACUAAUGAUUAAUGAUAUUCAUGUAUAAUCAUAUCUAAG
rnacentral:lncRNA from 1 species